AUUCCCGUUGAUCCUGCGGGAGAUUGCUGCUAUUGGGAUUCGACUAAGCCAUGCAAGUUUGCUCUCUUCGGAGGGCAGCUGACUGCUCAGUAACACGUCGAUAAUCUACCUUUAGGUCGGAGAUAACCUUGGGAAACUGAGGCUAAUAUCUGAUAGGGGAAUUAUACUGGAAUGUUUUUUCCCUGAAAGGCAACGCCUAAGGAUGGGAUGGCGGCGGAUUAGGUUGUUGGUGAGGUAAUGGCUCACCAAGCCGAAGAUCCGUAGGGGCUCUGAGAGGAGUAGCCCCGAGAAGGGCACUGAGAUACUGGCCCUAGCCCUACGGGGUGCAGCAGGCGCGAAACCUCUACAAUGCACGAAAGUGUGAUAGGGG
rnacentral:rRNA from 1 species